rnacentral:rRNA from 1 species
CUGGCUCAGAACGAACGCUGGCGGCAGGCCUAACACAUGCAAGUCGAGCGCGCCCUUCGGGGUGAGCGGCGGACGGGUUAGUAACGCGUGGGAACGUACCCUUUGGUAGGGAAUAGCCACUGGAAACGGUGAGUAAUACCCUAUGAGCCCUUCGGGGGAAAGAUUUAUCGCCAAAGGAUCGGCCCGCGUUAGAUUAGGUAGUUGGUGGGGUAAUGGCCUACCAAGCCUACGAUCUAUAGCUGGUUUUAGAGGAUGAUCAGCAACACUGGGACUGAGACACGGCCCAGACUCCUACGGGAGGCAGCAGUGGGGAAUCUUGGACAAUGGGGGCAACCCUGAUCCCAGCCAUGCCGCGUGAGUGAAGAAGGCCUUAGGGUCGUAAAGCUCUUUCGCCUGUGAAGAUAAUGACGGUAGCAGGUAAAGAAACCCCGGCUAACUCCGUGCCAGCAGCUGC